AUCCAGCUGAUGAGUCUUAAACAGGACGAAACGCGUAGCCUGUAU
rnacentral:hammerhead_ribozyme from 1 species